rnacentral:rRNA from 1 species
UGGGGAAUAUUGGACAAUGGGCGCAAGCCUGAUCCAGCCAUGCCGCGUGAGUGAUGAAGGCCUUAGGGUUGUAAAGCUCUUUCGCCGACGAAGAUAAUGACGGUAGUCGGAGAAGAAGCCCCGGCUAACUUCGUGCCAGCAGCCGCGGUAAUACGAAGGGGGCUAGCGUUGUUCGGAAUCACUGGGCGUAAAGCGCACGUAGGCGGAUUGUUAAGUCAGGGGUGAAAGCCUGGAGCUCAACUCCAGAACUGCCCUUGAUACUGGCAAUCUCGAGUCCGGAAGAGGUAAGUGGAACUGCGAGUGUAGAGGUGAAAUUCGUAGAUAUUCGCAAGAACACCAGUGGCGAAGGCGGCUUACUGGUCCGGUACUGACGCUGAGGUGCGAAAAGCGUGGGGAGCAAAACAGGAUUAGAUACCCUGGUAGUCCACGCCGUAAAACGAUGGAGGCUAGCCGUUGGCGAGCAUGCUCGUCAGUGGCGCAGCUAACGCAUUAAGCCUCCCGCCUGGGGAGUACGGUCGCAAGAUU